rnacentral:rRNA from 1 species
GACGAACGCUGGCGGCGUGCUUAACUCAUGCAAGUCGAACGGAAAGGCCCUGCUUUUGUGGGGUGCUCGAGUGGCGAACGGGUGAGUAACACGUGAGUAACCUGCCCUUGACUUUGGGAUAACUUCAGGAAACUGGGGCUAAUACCGGAUAGGAGCUCCUGCUGCAUGGUGGGGGUUGGAAAGUUUCGGCGGUUGGGGAUGGACUCGCGGCUUAUCAGCUUGUUGGUGGGGUAGUGGCUUACCAAGGCUUUGACGGGUAGCCGGCCUGAGAGGGCGACCGGCCACAUUGGGACUGAGAUACGGCCCAGACUCCUACGGGAGGCAGCAGUGGGGAAUAUUGCACAAUGGGCGGAAGCCUGAUGCAGCAACGCCGCGUGCGGGAUGGCGGCCUUCGGGUUGUAAACCGCUUUCGCCUGUGACGAAGCGUGAGUGACGGUAAUGGGUAAAGAAGCACCGGCUAACUACGUGCCAGCAGCCGCGGUGAUACGUAGGGUGCGAGCGUUGUCCGGAUUUAUUGGGCGUAAAGGGCUCGUAGGUGGUUGAUCGCGUCGGAAGUGUAAUCUUGGGGCUUAACCCUGAGCGUGCUUUCGAUACGGGUUGACUUGAGGAAGGUAGGGGAGAAUGGAAUUCCUGGUGGAGCGGUGGAAUGCGCAGAUAUCAGGAGGAACACCAGUGGCGAAGGCGGUUCUCUGGGCCUUUCCUGACGCUGAGGAGCGAAAGCGUGGGGAGCGAACAGGCUUAGAUACCCCGGUAGUCCACGCUGUAAACGGUGGGUACUAGGUGUGGGGUCCAUUCCACGGGUUCCGUGCCGUAGCUAACGCUUUAAGUACCCCGCCUGGGGAGUACGGCCGCAAGGCUAAAACUCAAAGGAAUUGACGGGGCCCCGCACAAGCGGCGGAGCAUGCGGAUUAAUUCGAUGCAACGCGUAGAACCUUACCUGGGUUUGACAUGGAUCGGGAGUGCUCAGAGAUGGGUGUGCCUCUUUUGGGGUCGGUUCACAGGUGGUGCAUGCCUGUCGUCAGCUCGUGUCGUGAGAUGUUGGGUUAAGUCCCGCAACGAGCGCAACCCUUGUUCACUGUUGCCAGCACGUUAUGGUGGGGACUCAGUGGAGACCGCCGGGGUCAACUCGGAGGAAGGUGGGGAUGACGUCAAGUCAUCAUGCCCCUUAUGUCCAGGGCUUCACGCAUGCUACAAUGGCUGGUACAGAGAGUGGCGAGCCUGUGAGGGUGAGCGAAUCUCGGAAAGCCGGUCUCAGUUCGGAUUGGGGUCUGCAACUCGACCUCAUGAAGUCGGAGUCGCUAGUAAUCGCAGAUCAGCAACGCUGCGGUGAAUACGUUCCCGGGGCU